CCCGAGGGCUUCGUACGACAUGGAUGUGUCCGGUUUACAUUUUUUUUAAAUAUAGAACAACAACUAUAACACUUUAUAUAAAACCUACAUUUAUAUACACAUAUAACAUACCUGCCACCAUAAAUACACAAACAUGUACCAUCAUUUUUUUAACCUCCAUUUUUAAGUCCGUACACCCAAUGAAUUAGUAUGCUUUUAAAAUUUAAGUUUCACCGUAAUGUUAAAAGUCACAGAUGAGUUAAUACGUCAUGUGCAUUCAUUCCCACAUUACAAAAAUAAGUAAUAAAUCUUAAGUGGUUGUGGCUAUUUUACGCAAACAACGUGUAAACAUUGAUAACAAUAUAAGAGUCUCGAAUUACUUGUCAACAAAAUUUAAUGAACUUUUAUACAUGUCAAGCUUUUGAUAAAACUACAGGUAAGUGUUGACAGAUCAUCUGUAAGAAAGGAUAUUUAAGUUUCAUAUGUAAAAAUAAUUUUGCUAACGGUAAAAUUAGCUUUUGGCUUAAGGUUAAAAAAAAAAAAAAAAUCUGUUCCAAAUUUUAUGCAGACAAACAUCAUGUGGUCUAGCCUGGUACUAUUAUACUGUUAUAGUGUUAGUAUAUAAUAGUUCCAGGGUCAAGCAGAUAACAAACGAAAAAUAUUCUGAAUCCAGAUUUUCCAAAUACCUUUGAGGGUUAAAUUUGGAAAAAAAUAAUUUGAUUGAUAGCGCCGGAAAAUUAAAAAAAAAAGGCAAUUUGUGCCUUAGACAUAAACGUCCACCUCCCCCGGCCACACACUCUUGAAGUACAAUGGUUGCUCCCUUAUACUCGUUACGUUUCCAAUAUUGGUUAAGUUUAUGGUACAGUCUGAGCUAUAUCUGUUUUCAUUCGAUUAAAAUGUAGAUAUAGGGGAACGACACUUUUAGAGGAUCGUCCAAACAAAUAGUAUGUAUUUACUCAAUGAUUCGUCCUAAAUAAAAAUUAAUUGAUUUUUGAGUGCUAAAUGUCAAGUGGCAAAUACUGCAUGUAUUUUCCGGAUGAUAAAGAUAAGAAAAUAAAAAAAAAUCGUUCUGAUGGAUUUAUAUUAAUGUAAUAAGACAUGAAAAGCUGCGCCACAAGCGCAUGUUACGAUCGCUACUUAUUUCAAAAAUAAAAAGUUCAACAUCUAUCAUUGUCAUUUCGCAAAUUCUUAAUUUGAAAAAAAAAAAAAAAAAACAAAGGGAGCUUGUUUUAAUGUAUAUAAACUAGUUAACUAAGUGUUGUGUUAACUGCUCAAUUAAUUUUUUGGAAAUAAAGUACAAAAAUGGAAAUUCAGAAAUUCUUAAAAAUACAAAGGAAUCUUUAUAUAAACAACUUUUAAUGACGGACGCACGGACAACGGUAUAUCGAAAUACAUUCCAUACAGGGGCAAAUGAAAGACUAAUUUGAUAAAGUGCAACCAAAGACAACGAAUGGAAUUUACAGGACACUAUUUGUAAUCAAGAAAAAAACUUAAUAGCUACAAACAUACACACAUAAUUAAUAUGGACAAGUACCGUUAUUGAGGUCAAAUUCGUAUAUCUAAAUAAUAAGUUUCUGUGGGAGUUAAUGUUAUUCAAACAUGCCACGUGUUUAACAAGAUGAGAGGCUUAUAACCCUGACAUGAUCACUAGCCAGUCAAUACUUGGGAUGUGAAGUCGAAGCCCGCUCGUGCGGGUUCACUCGACUCCAAUCUUAAUUGACUAGGAUUGUAAAUAUAAAAAAGAAGAUGUGGUAUGAUUGCCAAUGAGACAGCUAUCCACAAAAGUCCAAAAUGACACAGACAUUAACAACUAUACGUCACCGUACGGCCUUCAACAAUGAACAAAGCCCAUACCGUAUUCUUAUCUCAUAAGUUUUCCUAUCUCGAAGAUCGAUGGAUUACUCCCAGCACUCCGGCUUCCUCCACCAAUAAAAUCUAACCGCCACGAAAUAGCUUAAAGUUGUGGAGAAAAAUACCUUAAAGACAUUAAAUUUCAAAACAUAAUAAAUGUAUUAUAUAUUUUUAACAUUGACCUAUUACGAAGUUUUAUGUUUAAUGCAAUAUUUAAUACCUGUUAUCAUCCAAAUAAAUCUAUUUCAUCAUAAAUAAAGACGGAAUAUUAAAUUCACAUGGCAUUCAACAUUUAAAGUAAUCCAUUUACACAACAUGUUUUAUUAAGUAAAAAAGGGAGAUAACACGGGUAACACGUUUAGCACUUUCACUAAAUUCUUAUUGGUAGAUUAGUACACGCAAAAGCAAUCAAAGCCAUAACUAUUAUUCGUGGUUUUUUUUAAACUUUCGACAACUCUAUCUUUUGUAAUGAUGUAUGUUGAUAGCUGAUCAAAUAAAUUUAUUUAUCUAUCUAUCUUUUUUUCAAGAAUUAAUUACUGUCCUGUUGAUAUACGUGUGUGUGACGGGAUUGUUUUCAUCAGAAAAUGUGGUAAAUACUUAGUCAGACGUUGACGGUGGGGAAAUAACGUAAACUUCUUUAUCUCAGUCGAUAAGCAGUUGCAUCCAGGGGGUCCAUUUGGAUGAAAAGCUAAAUGUUGAAAAAACAGACUCUGGUAAUAUUCUUUCUGGGGAUGAAAUUAACACCCUUUAUAAUAACAUGAGUAGAAAUUACCCUUCUCAAUCAGAAGUGAACGAUUAUGAUUAAAAAAAAUAAAGCGGUGGUUUGUGACACAGAGGUUCAGUGUUCGAGUCCUUAUGGAGACAUAUUGUGUUGAUGUUUUGUGGUGUUUUGUGUCCCAACAAUUGUAAAGCGCUAUGGCUCAAUCCAGGGGGGAGGCUCACGGUAGGAGGUCGGGCACAGCAACAAGAAAGAAAACCAAACUAGAAUAUCAAGAAACUCGCUAUUAAUUUAAUAAAGAAAACAUUAAUAUAAAUACAAUAUAAUUUCGAUGUACACAUUUUGAAGUCAAAGUAAGCUGAAAACAAUGAUAAAAUAGUACAAACAAUUCAGGUUACAUAUUAGAUAAUAACAAUAAUAAUUACUUUUAAAAUAAGCCUCUGAAUUUAAAUAUUAGCUACUUAUUAACUUUAUUUUUUUUUCAAAAUAGAAUUAAAAGAAAAAUAAUUUUAAAUCUAAAUAAUUUUCAAAACCAAGCAUAAGAGACUCACCUAGAAUAUCUAGAAACUCGCUAUUGAUAUCAUAGGCAUAUAUAUAUACUAAGUUUUGCAUGUACUAGUAACCCCUAACUGACUGUUACAAACAAAAGAUUUGCUGACGAAGGGUGACCGUUGUCCGAACUUUUAAGAUGUUUUAUAAAACUUUAUUAGACAUAUAACCGGAGGUCAGUUUGACUACUUCUGAAGUUUUAUUGUACAGACAAGUUCAAUAGUUUAUAAAAGUGCUUUAUUUGACAUAAAUAAUUAUUUGAAAUGUCCUACGAUUGAAAAAUGUAUAGAACAUUUAGACACUAAUUUUAUGUAAAAUAGUUUACAAAGUAGAACUUACAUACAUUAACUAAUAAACUAUAUGAAAUAAAAAAAACUGCAUUUUUCUAUUACAAUAGACACGUAAUUUUGUAAUGAAAUUCGUGCUCUCCGGUUACAUACGCAUAACCUUAUGUGACCGACAGAAAGCCGGAUGUAAAUCUAUUUUGGGUUUUCAUCUUUUCGUUGCAUAAUAAUGUAACUACGCACUUUGUGUUAAAUACUUUAAGUUUGAAACGAAGGUAUGUGAAAUAAAUCUUCAUUGUAAUUUCAGAUUUACAAACAUUUAUAGUUUAAAACCAUUGGUGUAUAAACUAUAUCUAGAACCGGACCAACUUUUGACGAAACUGAUAAAUUCGUUCAUUCAAGUAAAAUGUAGUACAUCCAAGUUAAAGCAGCAUUAGCUGUUGAAUUCAUGUUCAUCGAUUUGACUCAAAUUAUAUUCAGGAAAACUAUUGAGUACCAACAAGACAAAUCUCCAUCAAAGUCAUAAUUUGUAAAUGUAAAUCAUUAUAGGUCAAAGUACGACCUUCAACACGGAGUUUUGGCUCACACAGAAUUGCACGUUCUAAAAGGCACAAAGAAUUACAUUUUUAUACUAGUGUAAAUUCUUCAAACAUGAAAACCAACGGUCUAGUGUAUAUAAAAAUAAGAAACGAGAAAACUUUAUGAACACACUACGUCAAUAGAUAUAAAACGUCCACCAAUGUAAAUGAAAAUUGGCUAAUUGGUGUUAUUGAGUUUUUGUCUGCCUUGUUGACGGACGGACAGACAGACGGAUAACGGUAUACCGAAAUACUUCCUAUACAUGGGCAAACAAAAGACCAAUCUGAUAGAGUGCAAACAAAAAAAAACAAAUGGAAUUACAGAACAUGAUUAUUUGUAAUCAUCAUACAUAAAUGAAAAUUAAAGAAGCUUAAGUUCUGCAAACAAACAAAAAUAAUUGAUAUGGACAGUACCGUUGUUGAGUUCAGUGGUGAUACAUGUAUAUCUACAUACUAGGUUUCUGUCACCUAUUGUUAAUUAUGCAUAUUGUUAAUAUUGUUUGUAAUAUGCUAUAUGUAUACACUGUACAUGUAAUUGAUUUCACUGAUGAGCCAUAAUGCUAAAAUAUAAUAAAGAGUUUGAAUUUAGAAAAACCAGCUGCCAGAGAAAAAAAUGUAUGUUGCAAUUAGUUGCAGGUUGUUUACUAGUUUGACUAGACUAUUGUAUUACACUAUCAUUCAACUUUGUAAACUUUGUAAACUUUGUACAACUAAAUAAAUGUAACUAUAAUUUCAUUAUUAAAGAUUUAACGGAACUAAAUGUUACCGCUUGCUACUACCUGUGUUAGUAAAGAGAACACACUCGUAUUGCCUGUUAUCAUUCCAAUAAAUCUAUUUCACUAUUUCAUAAUAAAUUAAGAAUAUUAAAUUCACAUUGCAUUCAACAUAAAGUACUUCACUAAUUUUCAUUUAACCGUGAAAUUCCGUGUCAUUGGGUUUAAGUAUCUGAAAAUUGUUAAGUUUUUUUUGUUUCUACAAAGCUUUAGGAUGUUUUUUAUGCUAUCAUAAGCAAGAGAAAAGAAAACAACUGACAGCAAAGGAUUAAAUGAUCCAGAAAUUUCAGUCUAAGUUCAUGGAAUGUAGAACAGAUGCAUGAUGAUGCAAAAACGUCUAUGUCAUAAUUUAUCUAUAAUACUAAAAUUACGAGGUCCAAUUUGUCAGCCGUCAUCACGUAAAAACGACGAAUCAAAGAAAACUUUAUAUAUAACUAAUAUGUACUAAGGGUGUAGAUUAAAAAUUACACCACUUCAGGCCUUUUGUUUUUCCACUAUUAAUAUUGCCAAUUAAUUAAGAAGUUCCGGGUGAGUCCGAUACCGAUACCAAUAGUAUAUUCACCUGUUCCUAUUUAUCUGUACGUUCCGCAUCUGACAGGCGCGCCAACAAACGGUGUAUUUAGGAUUAAUAUGCUAUAUACACGGGUCAUAAUCACAGGGUUAUAAUCACAGGGUUGACACUAUUAAAUUGUCGAAUUGUUACCUAUUGUUGUAUUUUAAUCAGUAAGACUUUCUAAGAUAACAAUACGAAUACAAAAAAUCUGGACUAAAAAUAAGGCGUAUAGGUACAGUUUUCAAUUUGUUAGCGGGCAUGACGUAAAUCAGCGAAUCAUUUUUUUAUUUUGAAGAAUUCAACUUUAUUUAUAACUAAUAUAGGACAAUGCUGUUGAUUAAAAGAUACUCCGUUCCAGGACCUUUUGUUUUAAUAAUUAAUAUUACCAAUAAUUGAUAAGUUCCAGUUCGACGGGUUCACACAGAAAGAUUUGAAAGCAGAGAAAACUGUGUAUCUUAUAAUCGGCAUGACUUUAUCAGAUGACAAUACUAAUUAUAAAUACUAAAAUAAUGCUUGCGCAUAGUUAUAUACUUUAAUUCAGUCACGGACCCGCGAUAUCACGGGUGUGUUCUAGUAUUAUAUAUGUUUGUACUUGCAAAUAGCGGUGAAUUAUUUGUUCAUACCAUUUAGCUACUAGCAAUUUAUAAUCAUUUAAACAUACUUUUCUUUCCGAGCUGACUUGUCCAGUUUUAAAAUCCCGAUCUUCAAAAACUUUUUGUAUCCUUCAAUGUAAUUUACGAAUCCAAAGGCCUAUGACUAUGGAAACACAUAGCAUAACAGACAAUAAGUAACUUUUACAUGUUCAUUUUAUCCCUAUAUAACUAUACUAUAGAGAAUAAUUAAUUUUGACCCAUAGUUCAAAGUGAAAAUAAAACUAGAAACAAAGCAUAUUUUUUUGCCUAUGUUAAGUUAAGAUUGUAAUCCAUCAUCUAUACAUUACAUCAAGUUACCAUAUGAAUCUUUAAUUACUAACUCUAAAAAGGAUAACGCAAUAUCAGAAUCUUGUCAUGAAUUUUAUACGACUUUCAAAAAUGUUAAUUGAAAGCCGCAAUGUAAUCUACGAGUCGUAAUCUACGAGUCUUUAUCUACGAGUCAUGAUAUCACAGAAAAGGGGUGUAUCGAUGGAAAGGGAGUGUAACGCAUAAUAUACAUAUCUUUCUUUUUGAUCACCUCUUUCAAUUGGAAGUUCCAUUGGCGGCAUGAUUUAAAUUGAUGACAAACAAUAACGCAUCCAAAUUGUUUACAAUCAGGUAAGUCAAAAUAUGUUUCCAUUCAUAUUUUGAUACAUGUAACAAGUACUUUAAUUAUAUCUUUUCAAAAUCAAAUGUUUGUUUUGGCUUUGCAAUGUAAAUUAGUUGAUGAUCAUGCGUGAAGAAUAUGCGAUCAUAGUGCAGAAAUGACACAAUUACUGUCCCGUUAAUUUCUAUGUUUUGUCCCUUAAAUUACAAGAACUUCAUAAGUUAAAAGAAAUGAGGUUAGAAAUGUUAUAUGACUGCGAAUGAAGAUUAUUUUAGAACAUAUAUGUAGGACUCUAAAGUGCGAUGGGGACGCUAAAGUGCGAUGGUCUACGCUAAAGUGCGAUGCCUACACACGCUAAAAGGCGAUGGUUCGCGAAAGUAUCUAUAGACGUAAUUAACGUACUAUGGAUUAUGACGUGAACAGUCUUUUAUACAAAAAAAAAAAAACUGAACAUGCCGAAAGAUAAAUGUAGAAUAUUUGAUAAACAACUUUAAACCAAAUGUCCAUGACUUACUCAUUUUAAACAUAACCGUGCUUUGUCGGCUGAGGGAAAUGUGUUUUUUUUAGGGUGCUGAAAGAAGGACUUGUGUCCUGCAGUCUACUAUACAGAUACAAAAGUAUAGUUUACGCAUAAGUAUCCUUUAUCCUAUUUCUAUUAGAAGCUAACGGAUACAUUGAAAUAAUUCUUUAUGUAGCAGUUUACUUUCCGGUCCCCGUUAACAUAUUGUCGAUUUAUUUGAAAAUUAAAGUCGGUAAAAUAAAAGUACAUGUUUUCAUGCGUAAAUCAUAAAUUGUCUGCUAAAAAAUUAGUUUGUACAUUGUAGGAAAAUACAACCUGUAUUUGUAUUCGCUGUGAAAAAAGAAGAAAGCUCGGAGAACAUUGCAUUUCUCUCAUUUAAAUUAAGAAUGUUUUAAACAAAUAAAUGUUUCACGAUAAAGGAUUUGUAUUUUUAAUUUACAAUGACGUCGAUAACCCUCUUGAUGCCAGAUUUAAAAAAAUCAACGUUUCGACGUUGUCAAUAGGCAAUUACAUUUUGACGUCGCCAGUGUCGAAUUCUUUUGACGUCGUCUUUUUGGCGUUAUUUUUUUCAUUUUGAUUUAUAAAGUAAUUUUUUUAGGCGAACGGCAUUCACAAGGGCGGUGACCAGGAGAACAUUUUGAUAAUGCUAUAUUGACUGAUUAAAAUCUUUCUAUACAAAUUUGCAUCUUCAUGGACAAAGGAUAUUCACAAAUGUAAAGUUAUUUGAUAUUUUUUUUAAAUGCUGUUGGAUUCGUGCAAUUAUAAAAAGUUCUUUUUUAAUUGCAAGAGAAUAUUGUAAAUAUUAUGCGCCGCGUACAAUUUUUGACUACAUAUUUUCAUAUCAUAACAGUUUUUAUUGAAAAGAUAUUUUAGGGUAUUUAUGGGCGGUUUUUACCAGACCUUCUGUUGAAGACACGGAAUUGUCGGAAGUACAUUUGUUUAUAUGGUCAUAAUUUUAUCUUUGAUUGUUUUUAUGAUUGUUUUUAUUUUCUACUGAUGUCGACAUUUAUAAUAAUAUUUUCAAAACCAAUUUUAGUAAAAUAUAUGGCAAAUUUCAGGAUAAAAAAAUAGUGUUUAUAUCUCCAGUAAAAAAUAGUCGUUCAAUGAUAAAUAUAACCUGAUGAACAAAUAGAUAUGUGAUAACAACAAAUAUAUUGGUUGAUUGACAUCCCAUUAGAAAUAACUUUAUAAAAUUUAUUCAGAAAAUGUAAUAUAUAGCCCAAAGUUGUUCGUUAAAAAAAUCUUCUCGUCACUGUAUGAAAGGGGUUCGUACAUAAUUUCUUCUAAAAGGGCAAUGAAGCGACAGUUAUAAUCGUUUUUUUCCAUGUUCAAAUACUUUUAUUUUUAAAUAAGUAACAUUUUAUUUUUCUAUAAGUAACAUUUAUUUUUCUAUAAGUAAAAUUUUGCUAUAAUUGCCGAUACAAAAGGAGGCGCGUACUGUCGGAAUAUUUUCUCGCAUCAUUGUCCUGUGCUGUCUGAAUACAUGAACCAUGUGAGAAAUAUUUUUUUUUAUAUCUUACAUGUACACAUUUUUUUUCUUGUAUAUAAUGUUUAGGGAUAAAUUCAGAAGACUGGCUUGAGUUUAUCUUAACUCGUCUCGACACGGGACUAUUUACUUUAUGAAGUAUUAUACAUUUUGUAGAUGUGAUUGCGUAUUGAAUGUUUGUCGACCUCUAUAUGUAUUGUUUUUUGAAUUUAUUGUGUCUUUUGAUGUAGGCCUAGAUAAAAAUAAAUUGCUUGAAGGUCAUGAAAUGCCUUUUGUGUAAAUUUCUGAAUAACCAAAUCAAUUUCUAAAACAUAGCAAAUACAAAACAGUAUGAAAGGAAGUAUUGCCCGUAACUAUUAUCUAAAAUAAUUUUAGUAUCCAUACUCCUUGUACUCUUCACGUGCAAAACAACUUAUAUUAUUUCUCACUUGUAUAUAUGACUAUGUUACAUCAUUAUCCGAAUAAAAAAAAAAUAAAAAAUAGGUCCAGAUUUUAGAGGCCUAAUAGCCGCUACUGGUUUUGUGUAACAAAAUUGUGCCAGUAUAGAGGCCUUUGGUAUCCCGUUUAGUGAAAUUCAAAUCCCUAGCUUCUGUUAAAUCCGGAAAAAUCCGACUUUAAAUAUGCGUCUUUAAAAUUUCAAGUUAGAUACAGAUGGUACAUGCAUGGCUAAAAAAUACCAAAAUAAUGUCAUGAACCGAUCGAUAUUUAAAAAAAAGGAUCUGUAAAGGGUCUAUAUGGAAUUUGAAUAAGCUGAUGCUAAUAUAAAUGAAUAGUCCCUGAGCAAUACCAUCUCCUAGAAAUCAUAUUGGAAAUAGAAAUACAGAACCCGUUACUUCUCUUUAAAGGUUAAAAAUCGUUAAUUAUCACUUGUUCCCCUCUCAAUUAAAUGAUUAAAACUUAUUUGUUAUAUUUGUACACGAAUAUGAGUAAGCCAAGUAUAGUAUUAUGAAUUAGGCCAUUCAUUUUCUCGAUUAAAUUGUUUCCCAUUUUACAUUUCGGGGCCUUUUGUAGGCGACUAGUUGUACUAUUUUUCUCAUUGUUGAAGGCCGUACAGUUGCCUGCAAUAUUGCUAACAUCCACUUCAUUUCAACUUUGGUUGAUUGUUGUCUCAUAAUGAUCAUUGGCAGCUAAACUUAUCCCCUUAUUUUUUUAUUAUAAGUAUGAAAUAUUUGUCGCUGAACUAAAUGAUAGGCAAUUAGUUAAUCGUAAAUUCAGUUUUAAAAUACAUGUAGCUUUAGUUAAGAUUUAAACUAAAUAUUUCGUCUAUCAAUUAAGUGAAGCCGACUGAAAGUGUCCGUCAAUAAUGCACCAUAUAUACAUGUAUAUAAUGUUUAAUAGUGACACGAUUUCAGUCCUAAAAUUCAUGUUUAUAAAAUAUUUUUCCUACGGGAUUUACACAAAUAAAAGUCUUAAGUUUACGAAACGUAUGUUUGUGAAAACCCAUUCCUCCUUCAUAGCAGGAACUCAGCUAGCAAUAAUAAAGAACACUUUUAAACAUCAAAAGGAGUGUAUAACAUUAAGGUAUAUAGGAAAAAAAUUCUUAGACAAGUGCCUGUGUUAAAUUCCAAUGGGCGUAAACUAAUAUAUAUGAAAUUUUGUUUAUCAAAUUAAAGUCAAGACUUAGUAUUUGUCGCUUAUCAAUCAAACACCAUUUGGAUAAAAGGAACUCAACUUAGAUAAGUAAAUGUGGGCAUUGGCAGUGUUUGUUUUAUCGAUCAUCUAAGGGAAAUUCUGUUUAGUUCCAUGCUCAAAAUUUAUAUUUUAGCGUUUUUCUAAAUUUUCAUAACUCCAAAUCUCAACAUUCUUUUCAGUAUCAGUUUUCUUGGGCUAUUGUUCUGUCAUGGGUGGACCGAUUUCCUGUUUCGGACCGUCUGAGAGGAUAAACAUAUAAACAUUUAUGUUCGAACAUACGUAAUGUGCGAAACUUUAUAAGGCAUUUUUCAACACACAGUCUGACGAAUAUGUCGGAAAUGCGUUUAAGAAAGUGUUUUUUAUUAUGUUAGUCUGAUAAGUAACGAUGAAAAAAAGAAGGUGGCCGGGUCUUAUUCAAUAAUCUCGUGUCAAUCUUUAAAUUUCAGCACCAGUAUCAUGUGCUUGCAAAGAUCUGCAUAUAUGAAAACCAACGUUGUCGUUUGUCGCUGGAUAACUUAUUUUUUCUGAGAAAACAAAUUUAAUUUACUUUUGUCAUAAUUAUAACGUCAUAAUGACGUCAUGGAUAUUACGUCAUUGCUUCAAAAUACACUUAGAUGACCGAAGGUCAACAAUGUUAUUAAGCUUUAAUUAUUUACUGUAGUAAAAGUUGCAAAAUUUUGAUUUAUAGUAUAUACUAUUGUUGAAACGACAUAUAUGUCGCCUUGGCAUCAAACCCCCUAACGACGUAUAUGUCGCUUUGGCAUCAACACUAAAACGACAUAUAUGCACAAGAUAGAUAGAGCGACAAGCUUCAUCAAUUAUCCAAUAUUUGAUACGCCCGAAUUUCUUCUUAAUUUAGAAACAAUCACUUAAGCCUACCGGUAAUUAUAAAGCCUAUCACAUAUGUUAUAAACCCUUAUCAUACCGUAGGUUUUGCAAAAAGACUAUUUAUUACAUCCGUGUUCUAUAAAGUUUUUAGCCCUUUAACAUUACCCUUUUGGUCCAUCGCACUUUACCGUGAUAAACCAUUGUACUUUAGCGAACAAACAGCCGUCGCACUUAAGCGUGAUACACCAUCGUACUUUAGCGUAGACCAUCGCACUUUAGCAUAAUUGUCUGUGUCAUUUUGGUUUUUUGUGGAUAGUUGUCUCAUUGGCAAUCAUGCCACAUCUUCUUUUUUUAUAUUGUUUGUGAUUAUCAAUGACAAAAAUACAAUGACAAUUGUUCCUGUUUGUAGUCUCGUAAAUUAAAUUUGUGUACAUUUUAAUUUGAUGUGCACAAAUCUUAUCUGUGAAUGAUUUUUUGUUACUUUAUCACAAACAUCAGUCAAAAUUAUCAAAUUCAUUUGUUUUGAUAAAAAAAUAUUAUUUUCAGGUCAAAAUGGCGAAGUCUAAAUCACAAAGGAUGAAAUAAUACAGAGAAAGGAAAAGACAUUUCUAGGAGAGAACCGAUUGAUAGAAGAAAGUUAUAGAACCGGAUGAUAUUAUAAUUCAGCACGUCAACUUAACAGUAAAGAGAAGAAGUUGACACCAGAUGUCCAC
rnacentral:lncRNA from 1 species